rnacentral:tRNA from 1 species
CCAUAUAUUAUAUACAUAGGUACAUAUAGUAGACUCAUAGUGGCUAGCGCCUCACUCGGGAAUUGAACCAA